rnacentral:rRNA from 1 species
UACGAAGGGUGCAAGCGUUAAUCGGAAUUACUGGGCGUAAAGGGCGCGUAGGCGGUUGUUUAAGUCUGUCGUGAAAUCCCCGGGCUCAACCUGGGAAUGGCGAUGGAUACUGGACAGCUAGAGUGUGUCAGAGGAUGGUGGAAUUCCCGGUGUAGCGGUGAAAUGCGUAGAGAUCGGGAGGAACAUCAGUGGCGAAGGCGGCCAUCUGGGACAACACUGACGCUGAAGCACGAAAGCGUGGGGAGCAAACAGG